rnacentral:rRNA from 1 species
GUGGCCCCAAGUCAGGCGAGGCUACCCGCCGAGUUUAAGCAUAUAAAUAAGCGGAGGAGGAGAAACUUACGAGGAUUCCCCNAGNAACGGCGA